rnacentral:rRNA from 1 species
AUGGAAACCCUAAUCGAACCGAAUCGAAUCCUCCAGUCCAGAUCAAAACAAGGGAGCAUGGCGUCGUCCUCUGCUGUGAGCAGGCGCGGCGACGCGGGCGGCGUCCUGGCUGCGAUCUCGCGGUCCUCGGUGGCGGCGCACGGCCGCGAGGCCGCGGCGGUGGCGGGGAAGCUGCUGCGGAGCACGGGGAAGGCGGCGUGGAUCGCUGGGACGACCUUCCUGGUGCUGGUCGUGCCGCUCAUCAUCGAGAUGGACCGCGAGCAGCAGAUGGUCGAUCUCGACCUCCAGCAGCAGGCUCUUCUCGGCUCGCCGCCGCCCCUCGCCAAAUAA